rnacentral:rRNA from 1 species
UACGUAGGGUCCGAGCGUUGUCCGGAAUUAUUGGGCGUAAAGGGCUCGUAGGCGGUUCGUCGCGUCGGGAGUGAAAACUCGGAGCUCAACUCCGAGCCCUGCUUCCGAUACGGGCAGACUAGAGGUAGGCAGGGGAGAGCGGAACUCCUGGUGUAGCGGUGGAAUGCGCAGAUAUCAGGAAGAACACCGGUGGCGAAGGCGGCUCUCUGGGGCCUUACCUGACGCUGAGGAGCGAAAAGCGUGGGGUAGCAAACAGG